ACAAUUUUCAGGUUGACC
rnacentral:rRNA from 2 species